rnacentral:rRNA from 1 species
AUUGAACGCUGGCGGCAUGCUUUACACAUGCAAGUCGAACGGCAGCGGGGAGGAGCUUGCUUCUCUGCCGGCGAGUGGCGAACGGGUGAGUAAUACAUCGAAACCUGUUGAGAAGAGGGGGACAACCACCCGAAAGGGCGGCUAAUACCGCAUAAAUCCUGAGGAAGAAAGCUGGUGACCUAGGAAUCGGCCUAGCGCUUUUAGAGCGGCCGAUGUCGGAUUAGCUAGUUGGUGAGGUAAAGGCUCACCAAGGCGAAGAUCUGUAGCGGGUCUGAGAGGAUGAUCCGCCACACUGGGAGUGAGACGCGGCCCAGACUCCUAAGGGAGGCAGCAGUGGGGAAUUUGGGACAAUAGGGGCAACCCUGAGCCAGCCAUGCGGCGUGUAUGAAGAAGGCCUUACGGUUGUAAAGUACUUUUGUUAGGGAAGAAAAGUCAGCUGUGAAUAAUGGCUGAUACUGACGGUACCUAAAGAAUAAGCACCGGCUAACUACGUG